AGGUAUGUAACAACAAAGACACAUACUACCUUCUGCAUCCCAGUACCCUUCACAAGAUUGGUGCAGGACAUGCUCUGUUUCUUUGAUUUAAGAUUUAUUCAGAGGGUAGGACUCCGGAACAAAAAUAGAAGAAGAAUGGGGGGAGAAUGACUCAGGGAAGCUAUUGCUUUAAGCAUACACAAGAAGCAAGACACAGAGUUCUGAUGAAUGCCAUUUUCUCUUUUGCAUUUUGACUAGCAUUUGAUCCAAGUACUCCUUUCAGAUCUUAAUACUCCAUUCAAGGGACUGCAGAACCUCAGCUCUCUUCAAGAACUGAAUGAUGUUUUCUCACACUUUUGAUGGAGAAUGAACCCUCCUUGUUUGUUGAAUUUAAGACUUAUUUUGAAACUAGAAACCAGGAACAAAUAUAUGAAGAAGAGCAAGAGAGAGUUGACCCUAGAUAGCUUACAUUAUUGCGCAAAUUUAUGUUAGAUCUAGGACUCAUUUUGGAAACUACUGGUCCAAAAACAAACACAGUGAAGCAGAACUAAGAUGAUACAAUUUAUUAAAGACUUCUCCAAAUCUAUUUUGUGUAAUCAUUUAGAUGACUCAAAUUAAAAUUCUUCAUGCUUUAAAAAUAUGUCACCCAUCAUAUUCUGUCCACUCCCUUCCCCUUCAUAUUUUAAUUCAUCAUCAAUUAGAGUUUCUAAUGCCAAUGAUAAAUUAAACUCCAUAGUGAAUUUUUCUUAUUCUUUUUCUGAUCAAUUGUGAUUAUGAAGCAAAUAUCUUAAAAAGAUAAGUCAGAGCACAUCCAUAGCUGUACCUCUGCAAAUUUCUGAUCAAUUCAUCCAUGUUUUCUUUCCUUUUAUUUAUUUUUAUAUGGUAGCUGUUGAAUUCUCUGACUAUAUAUUCUCAUAAACUCACACCCAAUACUUUCAGUUUCAUAUAUGAUCUAAUGGAAUGAGUUAACACCUAAAUAUUUGUCUAAUUGUUGUGUCUUUUGCAGAUGCCUUCCACUUUCGCCAGCCUUGUAACCCUACUUAUUCGAAGGUAUUUCCUUUUCUUCCCUGCUCGUUGUAUAGAUAUCACUACUUUGCUCCUUAUAAACUGCACCAUUAGUUUUAUAAAAAAAAAAUAGCACCUGUAAUGCUGCAGCUGUUUUCAUGGCUGGUCUUGCUCCUAAAAUUUUUGUCUUUUGUAUGUUCAAAGCGAGGGUUUAGUUAUUAUGAUGGCUCUUUGAAAUGGAAGGUGGAGUUAGGAAGAUGUGUCUGUUGUAGCGGCUGUGACAUAAUUGCUACUAAAAUUAAGAGAUAUUAUUCUUGAUGGUUCUCUCCCUCCUCCUUGAUGGGAUCUGCGAAAAUUGACUAGUGAGUGAGCCACUACCAUGCCUUUCCAUGCUAUAUUACUGAAACAAAAUUGGUCAAAUCUUACAGAGGUGGCUCUGUUUUGAUUUGGCAGGCUUGCACUUACGAGGAGUCCCCGUGGUGAAAGGCCCUGGAGAUUUUCUUGUUUUGCACCAAGUCAACCAGUUUCAAAAGACAAGCCAGUUUAAGUACAACAUCUUUGUGAUGUACCUUUGGAACUUUUUUCUUUCCUGAUUUUGAUGUCAUUUUCUGCUUGGUUUGGUCUUUCUUGGGUGUCAACAGUGACCAGGAAUUUUUGACAAAAUGGAGAGUGCCAGUCUCCCUCUCUUAUUUGACGGUCAACUACUGUUGUUCUCUCCAAGAACAGUUCCAAUUCAGGAAAGGGAAAGAUGGGCAUUAUAUAGCUCACAUUCCACAAAUGGAGAUAGGCCUAGUGCUGUUCUAAUGAAGGUGGUGGUACAUCAAUAUAUAACAAGGUAAUUGUUCUAUGCUCAAAAUAAAUUUCUUCCAAAAAUGUUUCACUUGAGAUUUUUCUCUUAACCCAACAAGCCUAGUUCGAGAUAAUUCACACUUCAACACAGCCAGCUUUCAUUUUAUUUGGCAGAUUGCACUUACUGGGAGUUCCUGUAACAAAAGGUUGUGGUGACGCUUUAUUCUGCCUAAACAAGAGGAUCACUUACCAAAGGCAGGGGGAUAGAAUUCUAACAUCUUUGUUCUAUGGUUGCCACUCGUUUCUUUCCCAAGUUUUGAUGUCAUUUUGUUAUUGUUUUCGUUCUGGUGUUUGUUAGGUCUUGAUUGCUCGGGGAGAAUACGAAGAUGUUCUAUUGCUGUGGGGUUAUGGUCUUAGAAUUGAGAACAUUCUUGUGCUUCUAUCGGUGACUAUGGGCAUUGGUUCUCAUUGUUUGUGUCAACAAGAGUCAAUUGUAUAUUUGUAGAGAAAUAAUGUCUAAAUUUUUAAUGAAGGUUUACUCCAUGAGACUUGCAAGAAGAAUAUUGUAAUUAAAUUGAUCAACCUAUGAGACUUUUGGUAGUUCUGUUUGCCAUUUUGAUGUCGGUAUCAUCUUGAAGUGGUGGAGUGCAGUUUCCUCAUUGAACUUUAUGAUUUUAUAUGGAAAAGAUGAUUUUGAGCUUAUUCAUUGUCUUCAUGCAUUUUUUUUUUUGUUAUUUUUGCUCAAAUUUGGAAGUUUAUACCAAGCUAAGAAUGUACAAAUUGUUAUGCACUCUUUAGAUUGUUUGUUUACCCAUUUUGUUGUCAUUUUAUUCUUGUUUUGGUGUUUGUUAGGUCUUGAUUGCGACCAGAAAUUUAAUAGAUGUCUACUGCUGUGGAGAUGAUUAUUGAGAUCACUCAUGGAUCCCAUUCCAAACAAGCCUAUUCUUUCAGUUUUUCUAAUGAUUGAGCAUUAUAAAAUUAGGUUGUGUGAAUAAAUUUCUUUUAUCCUCUUAAUAGACUAUCUCAAAAGCCCUUUUGAUUUACCAUUUUAGGGUUUUGAUUCUAUUGGAUUUGUUGUCAGCCCUAGGAAGUUCCUGUUUUAAAAUUUGAUUUGUAAUGUUAAGACCAUUAACAAAGUGACAUUGUAAGUAUCAUUUUCCAUGGAAUAAUUCCUUAGAAAGUUCAUGGCAGUCCCCAUUUUCUUCAUGACAAAUAUUAGAACUCUGAAAGCCAUCUCUUCCCUAAACCAUUCCUGAUAAUCAAUUUUGAGAAUCAUGAAACUGUUUCGUCGAUGACAGCAGCAAAAUAUCAGGAAUUGCAGAGCCUCAACUCUCUUGAAGAAUUGUGUAUGUACAAAAAUACCAUUGCUCAUACUGUUAUUGGGACUAAGAGAGCAAAGCAUGCACUAUUUUUGUUAAGCAUACAUAUUCAUUCAAAAACAUCCUUUGAGCAAUUUAAGAAUACCCACCAAUUCUCAAUUUUGUAUGACUUGUUUCCACUUCCAUAACAUCAAUGUCUGAACUUAUCUAUUUAUCUUACAGAGGCACAGAGGAAAUCAAUGAGAUCUGUAAUUGCAGAAUAUACACACUCUCUGGAAUGGGCCUUAUAUGCAAUCUUUGGAAAAUCCCUUGCUUUUGAGUAAUUCCUGUGUUGAAGCUUUCACACAUCAUCUAUAAUGGACUAUUGUUUAUGAAACAGGUGCACGAAAGCUGGUCUACAAGUUUGGUUUCUUGAUUAGAAUUUUUUGCAUAAACUUACGAAUCUCUCUUACAAAAUUAUCCAUCAACAACUGCCCUGAGCUCCACUCUUUUGGUGAAGAGGGGCUUCAACAUCUUACAUCUCUUGAACAAUUGGAGAUCAGUAGUUACCCUGUCCUCCUGUCCUUAAACAGGGUCGGGUCUUCAACACCUUACCUCUCUCAAAAAAUUUUACAUCAAUAAUUUUCGUAGGCUCCAAUGUUUGACGAAAGAGAGACUGCCUACACCCCUUUCAUUGCUUAAAAUACAAAAAUGCUUUUUGCUGGAACAUCGGUGCGAAUUUGGAAAAGGCGACGAUUGGUGUCAUAUAGCUCACAUUGGAUGUGUGGUGAUAGAUGAUGUGCUAUUCUGAUGAAGGUGAAACUGCAUGAAUCCGAGGUCUAGUGCUUGUUCUAUACUCAAAAUAAGUUUCUUAAAAAUUAGAUGAUUAUAAAUGACUAUUGGUGUCUUUCAGGUUUAGGCUGUGCUUCACUCUCAUUAUGGUACUGAUUGUAGCUUCUGACCGGGCCAUACAUGCUAAUGAUAGAAUAAACUAAAUAGCAAUACAGAAGUGAAUUUUUAUGUAUUCUUUUUGGGAUCAAUUGUGAUUAUGAAUCCAUAGCUGUACCUCUGCAAAUUUCUGAUCAAUUCAGCCAUGUUUUCUUUUCUUUUAUUUAUUUUUAUAUGGUAACAGUCUGAAUUCUCUGACCAUAUAUUGACUAAUUUACUCAUACCCACUCCUUUCAGUUUCAUAUAUGAUCUUAUGAAAUGUGUUAACACCUAAGUAUUUGUCCAACUGUUG
rnacentral:lncRNA from 1 species